rnacentral:rRNA from 1 species
GACGAACGCUGGCGGCGUGCUUAACACAUGCAAGUCGAACGGAAAGGCCCUGCUUUUGUGGGGUGCUCGAGUGGCGAACGGGUGAGUAACACGUGAGUAACCUGCCCUUGACUUUGGGAUAACUUCAGGAAACUGGGGCUAAUACCGGAUAGGAGCUCCUGCUGCAUGGUGGGGGUUGGAAAGUUUCGGCGGUUGGGGAUGGACUCGCGGCUUAUCAGCUUGUUGGUGGGGUAGUGGCUUACCAAGGCUUUGACGGGUAGCCGGCCUGAGAGGGUGACCGGCCACAUUGGGACUGAGAUACGGCCCAGACUCCUACGGGAGGCAGCAGUGGGGAAUAUUGCACAAUGGGCGGAAGCCUGAUGCAGCAACGCCGCGUGCGGGAUGACGGCCUUCGGGUUGUAAACCGCUUUCGCCUGUGACGAAGCGUGAGUGACGGUAAUGGGUAAAGAAGCACCGGCUAACUACGUGCCAGCAGCCGCGGUGAUACGUAGGGUGCGAGCGUUGUCCGGAUUUAUUGGGCGUAAAGGGCUCGUAGGUGGUUGAUCGCGUCGGAAGUGUAAUCUUGGGGCUUAACCCUGAGCGUGCUUUCGAUACGGGUUGACUUGAGGAAGGUAGGGGAGAGUGGAAUUCCAUGUGUAGCGGUGAAAUGCGUAGAUAUAUGGAGGAACACCGGUGGCGAAAGCGGCUCUCUGGCUUGUAACUGACGCUGAGGCUCGAAAGCGUGGGGAGCAAACAGGAUUAGAUACCCUGGUAGUCCACGCCGUAAACGAUGAGUGCUAGGUGUUGGGUCCUUUCCGGGACUCAGUGCCGCAGCUAACGCAUUAAGCACUCCGCCUGGGGAGUACGACCGCAAGGUUGAAACUCAAAGGAAUUGACGGGGGCCCGCACAAGCGGUGGAGCAUGUGGUUUAAUUCGAAGCAACGCGAAGAACCUUACCAGGUCUUGACAUCCCUCUGACCACUCUAGAGAUAGAGUUUUCCUUCGGGACAGAGGUGACAGGUGGUGCAUGGUUGUCGUCAGCUCGUGUCGUGAGGUGUUGGGUUAAGUCCCGCAACGAGCGCAACCCCUAUUGUUAGUUGCCAUCAUUCAGUUGGGCACUCUAGCGAGACUGCCGGUAAUAAACCGGAGGAAGGUGGGGAUGACGUCAAAUCAUCAUGCCCCUUAUGACCUGGGCUACACACGUGCUACAAUGGCUGGUACAACGAGUCGCAAGUCGGUGACGGCAAGCUAAUCUCUUAAAGCCAGUCUCAGUUCGGAUUGUAGGCUGCAACUCGCCUACAUGAAGUCGGAAUCGCUAGUAAUCGCGGAUCAGCACGCCGCGGUGAAUACGUUCCCGGGCCU